rnacentral:rRNA from 1 species
GACGGAGGGUGCUAGCGUUGUUCGGAAUGACUGGGCGUAAAGCGCGCGUAGGCGGCCCGUUAAGUCGGAUGUGAAAACCCGUGGCUCAACCACGGGCCUGCAUCCGAUACUGGCGGGCUCGAGGCAGGCAGGGGAGAUCGGAAUUCCUGGUGUAGCGGUGAAAUGCGCAGAUAUCAGGAGGAACACCGGUGGCGAAGGCGGAUCUCUGGGCCUGUCCUGACGCUCGAGGCGCGAAAGCUAGGGGAGCAAACAGG